UAGGGAAUAUUGGUAAUGUGCGAAAGCGCGAACCAGCAACGCCGCGUGCACGAUGAAGGCCUUCGGGUUGUAAAGUGCUUUUAGAGAGGAUGAGGAAGGACAGUACUUUCUGAAUAAGCCUCGGCUAACUACGUGCCAGCAGCCGCGGUAAAACGUAGGAGGCUAGCGUUAUCCGGAUUUACUAGGCGUAAAGCGCGUGCAGGUGGUUUCGUAAGUUGGAUGUGAAAGCUCCUGGCUCAACUGGGAGAGGUCGUUCAAAACUGCGAGGCUUGAGAGUGGUAGAGGGAGGUGGAAUUCCGGGUGUAGUGGUGAAAUGCGUAGAUAUCCGGAGGAACACCAGUGGCGAAAGCGGCCUCCUGGACCAUUUCUGACACUCAGACGCGAAAGCUAAGGUAGCAAACG
rnacentral:rRNA from 1 species